rnacentral:rRNA from 1 species
ACUUUACCAUGCGGGCAACCGUGAUAAGGAAACCCCGAGUGCCAGCACAGGCUGUCUGUCCGCCAGUGUAAAUAACUGGUGAAGAAAGGGCCGGGCAAGACCGGUGCCAGCCGCCGCGGUAAUACCGGCGGCUCGAGUGGUUGCCACUAUUACUGGGCUUAAAGGGUCCGUAGCUUGAUAUGCAAGUCUCUUGAGAAAUCCGCCAGCUUAACUGGUGGGCGUUCAGGGGAAACUGCAUUUCUAGGGACCGGGAGAGGUGAGAGGUACUGCCGGGGUAGGAGUGAAAUCCUGUAAUCCCGGUGGGACCACCUAUGGAGAAGGCAUCUCACCAGAACGGGUCCGACAGUGAGGGACGAAAGCUGGGGGAGCAAACCGG